rnacentral:rRNA from 1 species
AACGAACGCUGGUGGCGUGCUUAACACAUGCAAGUCGAACGAGAAAGCCUUUCGGGGUGAUUAUAGUGGCGCACGGGUGAGUAAUACAUAGGAACGUACCUAUAGGUGGGGAAUAACCAUUGGAAACGAUGGCUAAUACCGCAUGAUGUCGCAAGACCAAAGAGGGCCUCUUCUUGAAAGCUCUCGCCUGUAGAUCGGCUUAUGUCCCAUUAGCUUGUUGGUGAGGUAAAGGCUCACCAAGGCGACGAUGGGUAGCUGGUCUGAGAGGAUGAUCAGCCACACUGGAACUGAGACACGGUCCAG